rnacentral:rRNA from 1 species
AACGAACGCUGGCGGUAUGCUUUACACAUGCAAGUCGAACGAACUGUUGGUAGCUUGCUAUCAACAGUUAGUGGCAAACGGGUGAGUAACGCGUGGGAAUCUGCCCUAUAGUACGGAAUAGCCGUUGGAACGACGAUUAAUACCGUAUAUCUUCCCACGGAAGAAGAACUUGUUCGCUAUAGGAUGAGCCCACCGUUAGAUUAGUUUGUUUGGUAGGGUAAGUGGCCGUACCAAGACUACGAUCUAUAGCUGGUUUGUAGAGGAUGAUCAGCCACACUGGAACUGAGAUACGGUCCAGACUUCUACGGAAGGCAGCAGUGAGGAAUAUUGGACAAUGGGCGAAAGACCUGAUCCAGCAAUACCGCGUGAGUGAUGAA